rnacentral:rRNA from 1 species
ACGGCGAGUGAAGAGGGAAAAGCUCAAAGUUGGAACCUGGUAGGCAUAGCUUACCCGGAUUGUAAACUAAAGUUUUCGAGUCGUUUAGUCAGCCAGGUAAAUAAGUCCUCUGGAAAGGGGCGACAUAGAGGGUGAAAUCCCCGUCUUUGGCCUGAGUUUUGAUUAGGCGUUUGGCUUGGAAACGAAGAGUCAGGUUGUUUGGGAAUGCAGCCUAAAAUGGGAGGUAAAUCUCUCCUAAAGCUAAAUAUUGACGAAAGACCGAUAGCGAACAAGUACCGUGAGGGAAAGAUGAAAAGCACUUUGAAAAGAGGGUCAAAAAGUACGUGAAAUUGCUGAAAGGGAACCGUAUGAAAUCAGAUCUACUGGUAGGUAAUCAAUCUUUCCUUUGGGAAGGAUGCACUUGCCUACUAUGUAUGCCAGCGACAUUUUGGUUGGGAGGAAAAAAAUAAAGGAAAUGUAGCUUAGGUUUCGGCUUAGGUGUUAUAGUCCUUUAUAAAAUACUCUCGGCUGGAAUGAGGAACGCAGCAAACCGUAAGGCGAAGAUUUCAGGCGCUUAGAGGGAAUAAUUAGAGAAUUUCUGCUUCGGGUGGUGCUUUGAUUAUUACCUUUAACACGCUUGGAGUUCUUUUAAUU